rfam:[Clostridium] litorale DSM 5388 strain W6 CLIT_24c, whole genome shotgun sequence.
GGUCAAGUUAUUAAGGGCAUAAGGCGGAUGCCUUGGCAUUAGGAGCCGAUGAAGGACGUGGUAAGCUGCGAUAAGCUUCGGGGAGGUGCAAGCAACCUUUGAGCCGAAGAUUUCCGAAUGGGGAAACCCACUUGGGGUAAUGCUCAAGUAUCUUCAGGUGAAUACAUAGCCUGUUGAGGGGAACUCGGGGAACUGAAACAUCUAAGUACCCGAAGGAAGAGAAAGAAAAGAUCGAUUCCCUAAGUAGCGGCGAGCGAACGGGGAUUAGCCCAAACCAGAGAGGUUUUCCUCUUUGGGGUUGCGGACUUGUCACAAAGGAAGAGGUAUUGUAACCGAAGGGGUCUGGAAAGGCCCACCACAGAAGGUAACAGUCCUGUAGGUGAAACGAGAAGACUUCCGACAAGCUCCAGAGUACCACGAGACACGUGAAACCUUGUGGGAAGCUGGGAGGACCACCUCCCAAGGCUAAAUACUACCUAAUGACCGAUAGCGCAUAGUACCGUGAGGGAAAGGUGAAAAGAACCCCGGAAGGGGAGUGAAAUAGAACCUGAAACCUUAUGCCUACAAGCUGUGGAAGCACAUUAUUAGUGUGACCGCGUACUUUUUGUAGAACGGGCCAACGAGUUACGGUAUGUAGCAAGGUUAAGAAGCUAAGCUUCGGAGCCGCAGCGAAAGCGAGUCUUAAAUGGGCGCUUCAGUUGCAUGCCGUAGACCCGAAACCAGGCGACCUAUCCAUGGACAGGAUGAAGCGAAAGUAAAAUUUCGUGGAGGUCCGAACCCACGCACGUUGAAAAGUGCGGGGAUGAGCUGUGGAUAGCGGUGAAAUUCCAAUCGAGCCUGGAGAUAGCUGGUUCUCCCCGAAAUAGCUUUAGGGCUAGCCUCGGGAUUAGAGACAAGGGGGUAGAGCACUGACUGUCCUAGGGGCCCUUUGGGUUACCGAAGACUAUCAAACUCCGAAUACCUUGUUCUUUUUCCCGGGAGUCAGUCUAUGGGUGAUAAGGUCCAUGGACAAAAGGGUAACAGCCCAGACCAUCAGCUAAGGUCCCAAAGUGUGGAUUAAGUGGAAAAGGAUGUGGGAUUGCACAGACAACCAGGAUGUUGGCUUAGAAGCAGCCACUCAUUCAAAGAGUGCGUAAUAGCUCACUGGUCGAGUGAUCCUGCGCCGAAAUAUUACCGGGGCUAAAAUCCACCACCGAAGCUAUGGAUCCGUAAGGAUGGUAGGGGAGCGUUGUAUAAGGAGCGAAGCUGUACCGCAAGGAGCAGUGGACUUUAUACAAGUGAGAAUGUUGGCAUGAGUAGCGAGAGGCAGGUGAGAAUCCUGCCGGCCGAAAACCCAAGGUUUCCUGAGGAAGGUUCGUCCUCUCAGGGUUAGUCGGGGCCUAAGCUCAGGCCGAAAGGCGUAGGCGAUGGACAACAGGUUGAUAUUCCUGUACCACCAACCACCAUUUGAGUGAUGGGGUGACACAGUAGGAUAGGCCAUCCUUCAGUUGGUUUUGAAGGUCCAAGCGUUAAGGGAGUCGAAAUAGGCAAAUCCGUUUCGAUAAUUCUAAGGCGUGAUGGGGAGCGAAAUUUAAGUAGCGAAGUGGUUGAUUUCACACUGUCAGGAAAAGCCUCUAACGAGGUGGAAGGUGCCCGUACCGCAAACCGACACAGGUGGGUGAGGAGAGAAUCCUAAGGCUAGCGAGAGAACUAUUGUUAAGGAACUCGGCAAAAUUACCCCGUAACUUAGGGAGAAGGGGUGCCCCGUUAGUGUGAAAGCAUGAGGGGGCCGCAGAGAAUAGGCCCAAGCGACUGUUUACCAAAAACAUAGGUUUCUGCUAAGUCGCAAGACGAAGUAUAGGAGCUGACGCCUGCCCGGUGCUGGAAGGUUAAGGGGAUGUGUUAGAGCAAUCGAAGCAUUGAACUUAAGCCCCAGUAAACGGCGGCCGUAACUAUAACGGUCCUAAGGUAGCGAAAUUCCUUGUCGGGUAAGUUCCGACCCGCACGAAAGGCGUAACGAUUUGGGCGCUGUCUCAACAAUAGACUCGGUGAAAUUGUAAUUCCGGUGAAGAUGCCGGAUACCUGCGACAGGACGGAAAGACCCCGUGGAGCUUUACUGCAGUUUGGCAUUGGAUUUCGAUGCUGCAUGUACAGGAUAGGUGGGAGGCUUGGAAAGUGGAACGCAAGUUUCGCUGGAGCCGUCCUUGGGAUACCACCCUUGCAGUAUUGAGGUUCUAACCAUGUACCGUGAAACCGGUACUGGGACACUGUCUGACGGGCAGUUUGACUGGGGCGGUCGCCUCCUAAAGAGUAACGGAGGCGCCCAAAGGUUCCCUCAGCACGGUCGGAAAUCGUGCGAAGAGUGCAAAGGCAUAAGGGAGCUUGAUUGCGAGACAUACAGGUCGAGCAAGGACGAAAGUCGGGCUUAGUGAUCCGGUGGUUCCGAGUGGAAGGGGCCAUCGCUCAACGGAUAAAAGCUACCCCGGGGAUAACAGGCUUAUCUCCCCCAAGAGUCCACAUCGACGGGGAGGUUUGGCACCUCGAUGUCGGCUCGUCUCAUCCUGGGGCUGGAGUAGGUCCCAAGGGUUGGGCUGUUCGCCCAUUAAAGAGGCACGCGAGCUGGGUUCAGAACGUCGUGAGACAGUUCGGUCCCUAUCCGUCGCAGGCGUAGGAAAUUUGAGAGGAGCUGUCCUUAGUACGAGAGGACCGGGAUGGACGCACCUCUGGUGCACCAGUUGUCACGCCAGUGGCACAGCUGGGUAGCUAUGUGCGGAAUGGAUAAGCGCUGAAGGCAUCUAAGCGCGAAGCCAACCUCAAGAUAAGAUUUCCCACUUCAUAGAAGGUAAGAUCCCAGAAAGACUAUCUGGUUGAUAGGCCCAGGGUGUAAGUGCAGCAAUGCAUUCAGCUGAUGGGUACUAAUAGAUCGAGGACUUGACCAA